rnacentral:rRNA from 1 species
AGAGUUUGAUCCUGGCUCAGGAUGAACGCUGGCGGCGCGCCUAACACAUGCAAGUCGAACGGUUAAAGCACCUUCGGGUGUGUAUAAAGUGGCGAACGGCUGAGUAACACGUGGGCAACCUGCCCCUCGCACCGGGAUAGCCUCGGGAAACCGUGGUUAAUACCGGAUACUCCGGGACCCCCGCAUGGGGGUGCCGGGAAAGCCCUGACGGCGAGGGAUGGGCCCGCGGCCUGUUAGCUUGUUGGCGGGGUAACGGCCCACCAAGGCGAUUAUGGGUAGCCGGGUUGAGAGACCGACCGGCCAGAUUGGGACUGAGACACGGCCCAGACUCCUACGGGAGGCAGCAGUGGGGAAUCUUGCACAAUGGGCGAAAGCCUGAUGCAGCGACGCCGCGUGCGGGACGAAGGCCUUCGGGUUGUAAACCGCUUUCAGCAGGGACGAGGCCGCAAGGUGACGGUACCUGCAGAAGAAGCCCCGGCUAACUACGUGCCAGCAGCCGCGGUAAUACGUAGGGGGCGAGCGUUAUCCGGAUUCAUUGGGCGUAAAGCGCGCGUAGGCGGCCUGCUAGGUCGGGACUCAAAUCCGGGGGCUCAACCCCCGCCCGGUCCCGAUACCGACAGGCUUGAGUCUGGUAGGGGAAGGCGGAAUUCCAAGUGUAGCGGUGGAAUGCGCAGAUAUUUGGAAGAACACCGGUGGCGAAGGCGGCCUUCUGGGCCACGACUGACGCUGAGGCGCGAAAGCUAGGGGAGCGAACAGGAUUAGAUACCCUGGUAGUCCUAGCCGUAAACGAUGGACACUAGGUGUGGGGGGAUGUGCCCUCCGUGCCGCAGCCAACGCAUUAAGUGUCCCGCCUGGGGAGUACGGCCGCAAGGCU